rnacentral:rRNA from 1 species
GGGGAAUAUUGGACAAUGGGCGAAAGCCUGAUCCAGCCAUGCCGCGUGAGUGAUGAAGGCCCUAGGGUUGUAAAGCUCUUUCAGUGGGGAAGAUAAUGACGGUACCCACAGAAGAAGCCCCGGCUAACUUCGUGCCAGCAGCCGCGGUAAUACGAAGGGGGCUAGCGUUGUUCGGAUUUACUGGGCGUAAAGCGCACGUAGGCGGAUUGUUAAGUUAGAGGUGAAAUCCCGGGGCUCAACCCCGGAACUGCCUUUGAUACUGGCAAUCUCGAGUCCGGAAGAGGUGAGUGGAAUUCCGAGUGUAGAGGUGAAAUUCGUAGAUAUUCGGAGGAACACCAGUGGCGAAGGCGGCUCACUGGUCCGGUACUGACGCUGAGGUGCGAAAGCGUGGGGAGCAAAC